rnacentral:rRNA from 1 species
GGGCUAAUACCGCAUGACAUACCGUGUUUGGAUACACGGAUAUCAAAGCCGGGGAUCGCAAGACCUGGCGCUUGGAGAGGGGCCCGCGUCCGAUUAGCUAGUUGGUGAGGUAACGGCCCACCAAGGCUCCGAUCGGUAUCCGGCCUGAGAGGGCGGACGGACACACUGGAACUGAGACACGGUCCAGACUCCUACGGGAGGCAGCAGUGGGGAAUUGUUCGCAAUGGGCGAAAGCCUGACGACGCAACGCCGCGUGGAGGAUGAAGAAUUUCGGUUCGUAAACUCCUUUCGACCGAGAUGAAUACCCAUGGACUUAAUACGUCUGUGGGCUGACAGUAUCGAGAGAAGAAGCCCCGGCUAACUCUGUGCCAGCAGCCGCGGUAAUACAGGGGGGGCAAGCGUUGUUCGGAAUUACUGGGCGUAAAGGGUUCGUAGGUGGCCAACUAAGUCAGACGUGAAAUCCCUCAGCUUAACUGGGGA